ensembl:lncRNA
GGAAGAUUUCUGUCAGUUGGAGGCCAGCUUGGUCUACACAGUGAGUUCAAGGCCACCCUGGAAUACAUAGUGAGACCCUGUCUCCAAAAUAAAAGAGCUUGUGUCCAGAUCCAUCAGAAGAGUAAAGGAUGUCCUGAACCGGUGCCCGGUGUGGAAAAUGGACAGAUAAGCAAGAGGCGUUUAAUGCAGACCAAGCUUUCAUCAGAAAAAGAAAUCACAGCCAGCAAUGAUUCAUAGAAACGGAGACCUCCCAGAAUCCCUGGAGCUACUUCGAAGGAUAUUGGGUUUCUGAUCAUACAGGGGUUGAUGGCAUCUCAUUUGAGACCGGCCGAAUUUCAGCAGUCACUCAUGCCUAGGUGUGGGACAGUGGAGGUUCAGAAAACUGCCAAAGGGCUCCUCAAGCCUCUUAUUUUACAGAUGAAGGAG